CAAUAGCGUAUAUUAAAGUUGUUGCAGUUAAAAAGCUCGUAGUUGGAUUUCUGGUUGAAGCGACCGGUCGGGCGUUGAUUCGUCUGCACUGGAGUCGGUUUUGGCCAUCCUCUAGGAAAGUGCGUCUGGUAUUAAGUUAUCGGGCGUAUGAUCCUGGUCUUUUACUGUGAAAAAAUUAGAGUGUUUAAAGCAGGCCUUCGCCUUGAAUACAUUAGCAUGGAAUAAUAAGAUAGGACUUUGGUCUAUUUUGUUGGUUUGCAGACCGAAGUAAUGAUUAAUAGGGAUAGUUGGGGGUAUUUAUAUUCCGAUGUCAGAGGUGAAAUUCUUAGAUUUACGCAAGACAAACAGCUGCGAAAGCGUCUGCCAAGGAUGUUUUCAUUAA
rnacentral:rRNA from 1 species